rnacentral:rRNA from 1 species
CCUACGGGAGGCAGCAGUGGGGAAUAUUGCACAAUGGGGGAAACCCUGAUGCAGCGACGCCGCGUGAGUGAAGGAGUAUUUCGGUAUGUAAAGCUCUAUCAGCAGGGAAGAAAAUGACGGUACCUGACUAAGAAGCCCCGGCUAACUACGUGCCAGCAGCCGCGGUAAUACGUAGGGGGCAAGCGUUAUCCGGAUUUACUGGGUGUAAAGGGAGCGUAGACGGCAGCACAAGUCUGGAGUGAAAUGCCGGGGCUUAACCCCGGAACUGCUUUGGAAACUGUGCGGCUAGAGUGCAGGAGAGGUAAGUGGAAUUCCUAGUGUAGCGGUGAAAUGCGUAGAUAUUAGGAGGAACACCAGUGGCGAAGGCGGCUUACUGGACUGUAACUGACGUUGAGGCUCGAAAGCGUGGGGAGCAAACAGGAUUAGAUACCCUUGUAGUC